UACGUAGGGGGCAAGCGUUGUCCGGAAUCAUUGGGCGUAAAGAGCGUGUAGGCGGCUUGGUAAGUCCGCUGUGAAAGUCCAGGGCUCAACCCUGGAAUGCCGGUGGAAACUGUCAGGCUCGAGUCCGGAAGAGGCGAGUGGAAUUCCUGGUGUAGCGGUGAAAUGCGUAGAUAUCGAGAGGAACACCUGAGGUGAAGACGGGUUGCUGGGCCGACACUGACGCUGAGUGCGCGAAAGCCAGGGGAGCAAACGGG
rnacentral:rRNA from 1 species